GACGAACGCUGGCGGCGUGCUUAACACAUGCAAGUCGAGCGGGAAGGCUCCUUCGGGGGUACUCGAGCGGCGAACGGGUGAGUAACACGUGAGUAAUCUGCCCUGUGCUCUGGGAUAGCCACCGGAAACGGUGAUUAAUACCGGAGAUGACCAGCUACUGCAUGGUGGUUGGUGGAAAGUUUUUCGGCACAGGAUGUGCUCGCGGCCUAUCAGCUUGUUGGUGAGGUAAUGGCUCACCAAGGCUUUGACGGGUAGCCGGCCUGAGAGGGUGACCGGUCACACUGGGACUGAGACACGGCCCAGACUCCUACGGGAGGCAGCAGUGGGGAAUAUUGGACAAUGGGCGGAAGCCUGAUCCAGCAACGCCGCGUGAGGGAUGACGGCCUUCGGGUUGUAAACCUCUUUCAGUACCGACGAAGCGAAAGUGACGGUAGGUACAGAAGAAGGACCGGCCAACUACGUGCCAGCCGCCGCGGUAACAC
rnacentral:rRNA from 1 species